GAUGAACGCUAGCGGCAGGCUUAACACAUGCAAGUCGAGGGGCAGCGCGGGAGUAGCAAUACUUCUGGCGGCGACCGGCGCAAGGGUGCGUAACGCGUGAGCGACAUGCCCGUGACCGGGGGAUAACCGAUGGAAACGUCGCCUAACCCCCCAUAGGACGAGGGACCGCAUGAUCCCUUGUUGAAAACCCUGGUGGUCACGGAUUGGCUCGCGUCCCAUUAGCUAGUCGGCGGGGUAACGGCCCACCGAGGCGACGAUGGGUAGGGGUUCUGAGAGGAAGGUCCCCCACAUUGGAACUGAGACACGGUCCAAACUCC
rnacentral:rRNA from 1 species